GCAUUACCUUCCCAACCCUUUUGACAGCCCUCUGUGGGGCACUACUCUUCCUGCAGGAAAUUACCAGUGGAGAGAGCCCCAUUCCUGUUUCCACCGCAUCAAGUUCCACUGCCACGUGAAAGACUGAUAGCGAAGAUGUGGUAACCAAGGAUCACUGCUCACAAUGUUUCCAAAUGCCAGUGCAAAGGAGACUUCAGCUACAAAAUGAAGAACAAAAAUGAAUGGCCCUCAGCUAUCUCUGCUUGCAAGUUUGAAUUACAGCAUCUGGCUCAACAAGAAUUGCUGAAUUACAGGGUAUGGUCCAUCUACUCCUGGCUUUUGAAUUCAGGCAUAGCCAUGGCACUUCUUUCCAUCAGUGUGACUUUGGGCUUUUGUCACAAGUCCUGUUGAGAAAACUAGCAAGAACAGAACAAAUUUCUUUCACUUGGUAAAGGGAAG
rnacentral:lncRNA from 12 species